GUGCUUGCUUUGGCAGCACACAUACUAAAAUCGGAACAUUACAGAGAAGAUUAGAAUGACCCCUGGGCAAGGAUGACACACAAAUUCGUGAAGCGUUCCAUAUUUUU
ensembl:snRNA U6 U6 spliceosomal RNA